rnacentral:sRNA from 1 species
UAAAGAAACUUUCAAUUGUGUUUGAUCUGCACAGGGGCAGUUUGAAGAAUUGAUCUGAAUUCUGCUCUCCUUUGAUGUUAGGACACAAAAGGAAUCCAAGGAGCUGGAGCAGAGGGAUCAAUUUUAAGGAAGAGUAAGAGAUGAUGAAAAUGUGUGUUGCUAAGAUGCCAGUAUGAGAUCCCUCCAUUUUUGUUUUAUGUAGUUAUUUAGUGCUAUGAACUUCUCUUCUACAAUCACCUACAUUUUGUCCUGAAAUAUAUAUGUGCACUUUGAGAAUGCUGUGCCUAUCACCCUGGUCCUCUAACACGCCUAGUAUCACAGCGUCUGGUGUGAGAAAUUGGUCAGGAUUUCAAAACAGAUCUGUACUUCCAGAUUACAGCUAUUGGUGCUUUGCAGCAGGCAAGAGAGGCCUAUCUGCUUGGCCUUUUAAGAUACCAACCAACUUGUGUGCUGUCCAUGCCAAACGGGACUUUGUCACCUUUAAGGAUGUCGCCAUCUUAUUCUCCAGGGAGGAGUGGAGGCUCCUCAAUAAGUCUCAGAAGCAACUGUGUGAUGCUGGAGAACGUUACUUUGCACUUGUAACUUCAUUGGGAUUUGCUUCAAGAUGGUUCUGUGCAGAUUUCUGGCAAGGAGCCUGGGGAUAGCUCUGGAUGCUUUACAGUGAGGUGCAAUCACAGAGGACCUUGAUGAGUUGUCCAGUCAAAAAGGGAGACUUGUUUCCUGUUGCUCUGUACUACCUGCUGUGUGGCAUUUUCCACUACUCAUAUAUUUACACUUGAGAUUGCUGGCAAGAAAUGGAUUAUGGAAAGCUACCUUUUGAUCAGGUAUCUGUAGAAGGAUUGCCACUGGUCAGGACUCCAAAAGCAAGUCCAACUAAGUAACUGUCUAACCUGUGUACAUAUAUGUGCUAGUCUUAAAAGGUAUUUUGCAUCUGGUCAAUCAACUUAGGCAGAUCGGUACAUAGAAAACCUUCCCCAGGACUGGAAUCAUCCUAGCUCAGAAAACUCCUUGAAAAAAGACUAGGAUACAUCCUCACAGGGUGAGUAUUAUAGAAUCCGUGAGUCAUAAAAGCCCUUUCCCUCUGAAGAAAUCAGAGAGAAUCUCCCAGCUGCAUUAGACAAUAUUCGUCCAACGACUAUCCCCACUUGUAAGCAACCAAACCUAUUCACUGAAUGUGUAGAGCACUUUCAAACUAAAGCAAGGCAUUCUAAGCAGGGUGUAUUCAGAGAAGCUGCCAGCCAUAAACCCAUUCAGGAUCACCACCCAAAAACUAAUGAUGGAAAAAGACAUUCUGAAUCUACCAAAUGUGGGAAAGUCCACCAUUCCAAAGACUCUCCUACUCCACCUAUAAAGUCCACCAUAGAGAAAGGUCUUAAUAGUGCAGUGAAUACGGAAAGUCUUUUAGCCAAACUUCCCACCUAAAAAAUAUCUCAGAAUUCACACGGGUGAAAGGCCUUAUGGGUGUGGAGAAUGUGUGAAACCAUUUACCCAAAGAGAUACCCUCAUUGAACA